rnacentral:rRNA from 1 species
GACGAACGCUGGCGGCGUGCUUAACACAUGCAAGUCGAACGGAAAGGCCCUGCUUUUGUGGGGUGCUCGAGUGGCGAACGGGUGAGUAACACGUGAGUAACCUGCCCUUGACUUUGGGAUAACUUCAGGAAACUGGGGCUAAUACCGGAUAGGAGCUCCUGCUGCAUGGUGGGGGUUGGAAAGUUUCGGCGGUUGGGGAUGGACUCGCGGCUUAUCAGCUUGUUGGUGGGGUAGUGGCUUACCAAGGCUUUGACGGGUAGCCGGCCUGAGAGGGUGACGGGCCACAUUGGGACUGAGAUACGGCCCAGACUCCUACGGGAGGCAGCAGUGGGGAAUAUUGCACAAUGGGCGGAAGCCUGAUGCAGCAACGCCGCGUGCGGGAUGACGGCCUUCGGGUUGUAAACCGCUUUCGCCUGUGACGAAGCGUGAGUGACGGUAAUGGGUAAAGGAGCACCGGCUAACUAC